rnacentral:rRNA from 1 species
AUUGAACGCUGGCGGCAGGCCUAACACAUGCAAGUCGAGCGGAUGAAGGGAGCUUGCUCCUGGAUUCAGCGGCGGACGGGUGAGUAAUGCCUAGGAAUCUGCCUGGUAGUGGGGGAUAACGUCCGGAAACGGGCGCUAAUACCGCAUACGUCCUGAGGGAGAAAGUGGGGGAGCUUCGGACCUCACGCUAUCAGAUGAGCCUAGGUCGGAUUAGCUAGUUGGUGGGGUAAAGGCCUACCAAGGCGACGAUCCGUAACUGGUCUGAGAGGAUGAUCAGUCACACUGGAACUUGGACACGGUCCAGACUCCUACGGGAGGCCGCAGUGGGGAAUAUUGGGCAAUGGGCGAAAGCCUGAUACAGCCAUGCCGCGUGUGUGAAGAAGGUCUUCGGAUUGUAAAGCACUUUAAGUUGGGAGGAAGGGCAGUAAGUUAAUACCUUGCUGUUUUGACGUUACCAACAGAAUAAGCACCGGCUAACUUCGUG